rnacentral:rRNA from 1 species
GAGGUCGUAAACCCCCCCANAUUGGUACUGAGACACGGACCAAACUCCUACGGGAGGCAGCAG